rnacentral:siRNA from 1 species
UUCAGUUCUUCAGAUGGCACCU